rnacentral:tRNA from 1 species
GGGCGCGUAGCUCAGCGGUAGAGCACUGUCUUGACAUGGCAGGGGUCGCAAGUUCAAACCUUGCCGCGCCCACCA